UGUCCUGUGUAAGAUCUAUUCCUCUUCUCUUCCGUCUUCAGUUGUUCUUCUUUGAUUAAACUUAUCAAUCUCUUGUUAUCACUUUCAAAGUAAACCCUUCUGAAGCCACAAUCUUUUGCAAGCCUCAUCGUACUAAUAAGGGCGUGAGCUUCCGCCAUAAGCGUAUCUUCUCCACCAUUGACCUUCCAAGUAGCGGCGGCCAUGACUAAACCCUCCUCAUCACGUAUAAUUGCACCAAUUCCCCAACUACCUGCAUAUUUAAGGUUAGCAUCUCCAUUAGCUUUGACAAACCCUGUUUCCGGACGUCGCCAUUUCGUCGAAUUGUUAUGGGUAGUACAAGCCGUCGAAUUGUUAUGGGUAGUAGAAGCGUUGGAGCUACGGGUCAUGGAAUCAGCUUGUCCUGGAUCAGUUUUGGUCGCAGCUUUGUACUCUUGAAUGCUAUGCUCAGCACGAAGGAUGAUAUCUUCUUCAGGUAAAGUUUUGUUUUCGAAAAUGCUAAGAUUUCUCGAGAACCAUAUACUAUAUAUAAUAGCAGCUGUUUGAAUUAUGAUUUGUUCAUCCUCAUGAAGAAUAAAAUCAAAUAACCAAUUAACGAAAUUUGGGUUGGGUUGAUCUGGGAAUUUAAUAGUGAGGGAAGAACCAAACCACGUUCUGAGGAUGUUAGGACAAGUCAUAAACGUAUGGGUAAUGGUUUCCAUUUUGGAGUUGCACCUAGGGCAUAAAAUCGAGCAAUGAAUACCCCUUUUGUUAAGCUCACUUCUGACCGGAAGAGAGUUAUGGAGAAUUCUCCAGAGAAUAACUUUAUGUCUGGGAAUAGUAUGAAGUUUCCAAAGUUUUUUCCACACAGUUGUUUCAGAACUACAAUUAGGUGUAGUAUUAUGCUUUUGUUGUAUUUGCCAGCUUCUAAUGGCUUGAUAACCACUCUUCACUGAAUAAAUCCCAUUUAAUUCAUACAUCCACAUAAGCUCAUCUUGAUUGGUGGUGUUAAUGAUAGGAAUUUGUUCAAUGUGGUUUUGGUCUAAAGAUAUGAAUUGGGAUCUGAUCAUAUCUGUAUCCCAUCUAAGAGUGUCUCUGAUAAUAAGUUCUUUGACUAGUCUAUUAGAAUCUUGAGUCGUGUCAGGGGUAAGAAUUUUAAAGUUGUGAUUUGUAGGAAUCCAGUUAUCGAAACAGAGGGAGUAUUGAAUGCAUUUAUUGUUAUUUUUUCCUCUAAAUGUAUCCUUAUUUAAUAUUAUUACUAACUUAUAUUGAAAUAUGAAAAGUCAAAAAUACACAUAAUAACAAAAGACAAUUUAAUAAUAUUCACACACAUUAAUUACACUACUAACUUUUUUUAAAUGUGAAAUUUAUCAAAGAGGCUUGUAAUAAAGUGGAUUUAGAUUCUCUCCAUUAAAAAUUUUCUCAAAAUUCACUAACCACUCCCGUGUGCGCGAGUUUUGCUACUAUGUUUUACUAGCGUCCCGUGCCCCCUCUAAAUAAAAGUGAUAGGUUCAAAAAGAAAAUGUUACUUUCAAAUGCUAGUGAAUAAAAAUAUACAAAUAGAUAGUAAGAGAAUAAGAAAGGUUUAGAACGCACCCUAAUUGCUAUUUAUUAAUACAAAUAGUUUUAAACAUAAGAUAAUAGACAUAUCUCUCACUUAACACACUUCAUAUUAUCUUUUUUGAUGGUGUCCGAGAUUCGAACCUCAGACCUUGCAUAUAUUAUGCAUUGUUCUUAUUAACCGAGCUAAUCUCAUAGGAACAAACUUUAUAUUAUCUAAAGAUGCAUAAAAAGUGUAAAAAUGCAAAAGAAGGUUAAAAAAAAAACUUAAAUAUAUUAUAAGAAUAGAUAAACACUAUUCAUUAAAACAAUUACAAUAUAUUUAAAAUAGAGUACUUAAUAAACUAAGAAAUAGAAAUAAAACAAAAUCUUAAUAUUUUGAACUCAGCAUCUGAACUUCCAUAUAUGAUCUUUUGCUUGUUCUUCUUCAAGUUAUUCUAGAGCGUCUAGUGACAUAGCUCGAUCUUCAUCUUCUUGACCAUAUCAAGAAGAGUAACUUCAGAAACCUUCACAACCUUGAAUCACAUUGGGAAUGCUACUUAGAGUUUCAAGGUUGGAAAGACCUGACAUUCUCAGUGUGAUUCAAGGUUAUUAGUUUAAACAACCAUCAUCUGGCACAAAGACAACAAUUUUCUUUCCAUUCUUGAUGAGUUGAACCCUAACACCUUUGCGAAUAGCAGAAUUGGGUUGUUUUAAUUCAUCUCAAAAAAUAAUUUGUUUUACUUUUGAAUGUAAAAGAAGUCAAUUUUUACUUUAAAUUUAAACCAUCUAAUUCUAAGUUCUAACGUUAGAUCAUUGUUGUAUAUGGUCGAUAUCGGUUAUUUUCAUCUUUUUCUCUUAUCUCUCACUCAGAUUGGGUUAUGGUUCAGUUUUACAUAUUCAGAGAUCAUUGAUUGUUUGAUUGAAUCAUACAAUUCGGAGUUCAACGUAAGUAAUUUUAGUUUUUUUAAAAAAAAUAGUUUUUGUUUUUCCUCAAUUCAUAUAUGAAUGAGUGAGAUCAUACAAUUCACACCUGAUCCUUUUUUGUUUUCCCUUUCUUCUUAAUAUUGGUUGAGGUUUCUAUAUGCAUGAAGAAAAAAACUGUCUUUUCAUUACUCAUUCUAACUGUUUUAAAACAUAAUUUUUCAUUACUCAUUUGUUAUGGAAAAACUAAGAAUAGAAAGAAAUGUUGGACUUCAAAAAAAAAAAUUCGUUUAAAUGUAUUUUCUUAACAAAUGUUCUAAGAAUGAGUAUUAACAUUUUCCAUAAAUAAAAAUAUUGUUUUUUGAUAAUUUAACUCAAUCGGUAGGGACAACGUAUUGUAAUAUGUAAGGGACGGGGUUUGAACCUUAGACACUUCACUUAUUAAUUUAAGAGGUGAAUUUCUAGCCAAUAUGCAACAUGACAAAAAACAAAUAUUGUAAGAUUGUUCACAAGCUCUAACUCAACUCAUAAAAAUGCCAAAGAUGUUAGACUUGAUGUCAUGAUCGAGGUUCAAACCCCGACUCUUUCACUUAUGUGUAUGAGUUUAUAUCUCAACUUUGUCAUUUCGUUAUCAACCAAAAAAUAUAUAUUGUAAAGAUUAAAAAGAAAAUUCCUAUGUUUUCUCCACAAGUACGUUUUUUAAUCAAGUAAAUUUACGCAAAAUCAAUUCAAGUGCGUUUAUGUAAACUUAGUUCAAGUAAUGACAUAUGUAGAUUCUUGUUUUCAAGUACAUUCACACAAACUUGGUUCACAUACAACAUGUACAUUAUAAAUAUCUUGAUCUUACUCAAAUAUCUUGGUCAAAUAAGUACAUCACUUAAACUGGAUAGAAGUACGCCUACACAAACUUUACACAAACUCAGUUCAAGUACAACAUGUAAAUUAUGAGUUCAGGGGCGGAACCACCACCCGGCGACCCCGGGCAUUUGCCUGGGCUCAAUCAAUAUUUUCUUUAUAUUUUUCCCAACUAAAUAGCCCAUUAACCCACUUAAAAAAAAUACAAAAUUGGGCAAACUCAAUAUUUUCACACGCGCACGCACAAGAAUUUAUGGCUCUAUAAAUUUUGCCCAAACUCUAUAAAAUUCCUGGCUCCGCGGCUGAUUGAGUUCACAUAAGUACAUUACACAAACUCAAUUCAAGUAUGCUUACUCAAACUCAAUUCAAAUAUGUUUACACACACUCAGUUCAAGUACAACAUGUACAUUAUAGAUUUCGCCAAAAUCGUUCUUCUUUCGAUAAUAUAUUUCUGAGUUUAUUGGAAAUGCUAUGUCUGUGUAAAUUAAUUUUACACAUACAUCCAAUAUGAAUCAUUACUUAUCCAUGUCAUACCAUUACAAUAGUGUGUAUUUUUUUAGUAAACCUGAAUUUAUUAGUGGUUUGUGAACCUGUACUGUAUUUCUACCUCUCCUCACCUCCCAGAACACUUCAAUGAUCUUCCUUUGCAAACUGCAAAGUAUAGUCCUCACAAUUUAUUGAUAAAUAAACCUACAAAAGAAUUUCAUAUUAAAUAAUUUAUAGACAAGGGUUCAUUAUUAUGGAAUUGCUUAGGUAAGGGUUCAUUAUCACUCCUACUUCUCAAUGUUUUUCAAUUAGAACUCGUCGUUCUUUAAACGUGCAGCAACUUUCCGCAUCCUUUCUAUGCAAAAAAGCAUAAAACUACUAAAAUACUAAUUAAAUACUUCUUGUUGUAGGUCAUUAAUUUUAUACUGUGUUGUCUUAAGAUGUAGUAAUCAUGUUCUUAGUCUAUAAAACCUCGACACAAACACCCAAAACGACACCAACACUAACUCUGACAUGUAGACAUCAAUAAUAAUUUUAGAAAAAGAUGUGAUGACAUCAUAAGUGUCAGUGUCAUGUCGGUGUCGACACCAACACGUAUCAGAUACAAAUCAUAAAGUAAAAUUUAUAUUGAUGGGAAUAAAAGAGGACAUCCAUCAAAAUCAUUUCCACUGUAGUAGAUAAGGGAGGAAUUUGGACAGGCCAAAGAUUUGUUACUUGCACUACAAGCUUUCAAGUAAAUGCAAGAAAACUGAUGAUAAUUUCAAUGAUAAUGUUGGGAAUAAAUGUUCUUUGUAUAAGUUUCAUACUAAAAGAUCAAAUCAAACUGAACAAACUUUUGUUAAUGAAAGGUAAGGCAAUGAUGAUACAAUGCAUAGAAAGCAACAAGAAAAGGACCUUAACAAAAAUAUUACAGAAAAGCUUGGAACAUUAUUUAGCUAUGGAAGGGAAACAUGAAAAAUCCCAAUAAAUAGAAGUCUAAUAAAAAAAAGGGUCUUCUUAACGAGUGUCCUUAAGACACUCUUUAAGGUUUCUCAAUUAAGAAAUUAUUCUUUGAAAAAACUCACCAUUUCAAUUUCCGAUAUAUUGAAUGCACAAUUUUCCAUAAAAAUUUACUAUUUAAAGUCCUUAAAGAGUGUCCUUAGGGUACUCGCUAACAUUUCCCUAAAAAAAAGUACACCAAUAAAAAACCCGACUAAUCACUUAGCAACAGUGAAAAUAUGAUGCAUAAUUUAUUGGCAAACAUGAAUAUUAUCAAGAGUCUUCCAAUGUUAAUUGAGCUGAAUUAAAUGCUUGGAUGCUUCAAAUUAGUCCUAAUUAUCUAUGCAACUAAAUAAUUUUUUCAUUACAUCAAGAAAAUUAAAUGAUUUUAGCUUAUAACUGAAUCCGAACGGAGUAUCGAUUAGGCAAAAUUAUGAGUAAAAAAGUUAGCAGGUACUUCUGCUACUUUAUUUAUAUAUAAAAAAGGCAUCAGCAGAGAAAGAUAAUGUAGCCAUACCAAUAUGCCGGUUACCGUAAGUGUUGAGACUGCUCCCACAUCAUGAACCUGUUACUCACACAAGGAUAUCAAUUUUACAUAAAGAUUAGGAAUAAAACUUGAAGUUGUAAUGUUCUUAGUGAGGAUGUACCUUGAGAUAGAAUGCAACUGCAGUAAAUAUACAUACUGUAACCAAUCCUGAUCUCCAGAUACCUAAUUGAAAUAACAAUAUAUAUGAGUAUCAUACAUGAAGCGGAGAUAAGCAAAUGAAAAUAAAAGUAAGUUCCUUGUGCUUUGAAUUUACCAAAAGUGCAAUUCCAAUCAAAUGUGCAGGAUAGUUGGAUAUUGGGCAAUCAUGUGUAAAUUUUUUUUUUUUUUUUUAAAGAAGUUAUGUGUAAAGUAAUUAUAGACAAAGUAUACUAAUUAAAUUAAGGCUUAAUACAUGCUUUGGUCCCUUAACUUAUUUUUGAAUUCCAUUUUGGUCCUUUAACUUUAAACCGUCUCAAUUUGGUCCCAUAAUUUUACCUCCGUUUACUUAAGUGGUCCCUUCUGUUAGUUUUUUUUAACAUAAGGGACCACUUAGGUAAACGGAGGUAAAGUUGUGGGACCAAAUUGAGACAGUUUAAAGUUAAGGGACCAAAAUGAAAUUCAAAAAUAAAUGUUAAUAAAUGUUGUAAUUUUAAACUUAUUUCUGGUUUUUUUUUUAUUGUGAUAAUUAAUUAGCUUUGAAAUUUUAAUAUACUUAUGAUAAGAAUAAGUAACUAGAGAUAAAGAUAUCACUUCUGCUUCAGGAUUUGCAUGUGCAUAUAAUAUAAUCUAUGAAACACUAACAUAGACACAAAAUAUUGAUGCAGGCACAUAUCAACACGAUUAAUAACUCGAGAAAAAAAAAUAAUUUAUUGAAUAAAAACAUAUAUUUUGAUUUGUUGGAAACUGAACAACCUUUCAAUCUGAAGUAUUAUAUGUUACAUAGUAUAUAACAAAUCAUUUGCUUCUUAAUUAUUGUAUAUAAAAAAAAAAAAGCUUAAUACAUGCUUUGAUCCCUUAACUUUAAACCGUCUCAAUUUGGUCCCAUAACUUUGCCUCCGUUUACUUAAGUGGUCCCUUCUGUUACCACUUAAGUAAACGGAGGCAAAGUUAUGGGACCAAAUUGAGACGGUUUAAAGUUGGACCAAAAUGAAAUUCAAAAAUAAGUUAAGGGACCAAAGUAUGUAUUAAGCCUUAAACUAAUAUUAUAUUUGUUUUUUUAGGAGAAUUAUUAGUUAUUUUUAAAUAGAUUGUAAGGAAGUUUUUUUUUUUUUUGUUACAAUGAUAAAGGCAAGAGGAAAAAAAAAGAACAAACAGAACUAUUCCCUAAGCAAUAUAAUGUGCCAGUACUUCUCAGGAGAUUGUAAGGAAUAUGUGACUUAGUUGUACCAAAAAACAGUUGACUUUAUUAUUUUUAAAUAUAUAUGAAAUCUUCCUCACAAAAAUAUAUAUUUGAAAUCAUUCAAAUAUUAAUGA
rnacentral:lncRNA from 1 species